CAUUUUUUUUUUUUUUUUGAAAAAUAAAGUCUGCCCACUGAAUUUUUAAAGGGCCGCAGUAUUCUAACUGUGCAAAGGUAGCAUAAUCAUUAGUUUCUUAAUUAGGGGAUUGUAUGAAUGGCUUAACAAGGUUAUAUUUUAUUAAGAUUAAGAGGACUAAAAUUUAAUUUGGGGUGAAAAUUCUUCAUUUCUACUAAGGGACGAUAAGACCCUAUAGACCUUUAUAUGAUUUUCAGGGUGUGAGGAUUAGUGGCUGGGGUAUCCUUGGAAUCGUAUUUAGCUGGGGUAGCUUUAGAAUAAGGUUAAUUUCUUUUUUAUUAUAAAUUUUCUAUUAUUAUUAAUUUUAAAAAGGUACCUUAGGGAUAACAGCGUAAUUUUUUUUGGGGAGUUCUUAUCGAUAAAAUAUCUUGCGACCUCGAUGUUGAAUUAAAGUAGGUUGCUGGGGUAGAUUUUAGCAUUGUUGGUCUGUUCAACCAUUADUAUUUUACAUGAUUUGA
rnacentral:rRNA from 1 species